GAUGUCUGAGCGGUUGAAAGAGUCGGUCUUGAAAACCGAAGUAUUGAUAGGAAUACCGGGGGUUCGAAUCCCUUCA
rnacentral:tRNA from 1 species